AGUUUCUUGAGGAUCUGUUAAUUAGAAGUAGCAAGUCCUCAUAUGGUUAGAUCUACUGAUUAGAGAGAGAUUUGCAAAAUGAGGUGAUCAUUCAUUUCAUUUUCUCAAUACUAUACCUGGGUGUAUACCUUGAAUUUCAUUAGUAAAAUAUGAGUUUUGCAGUUGAGGUGCUCAAAUUUUUUUCACUAUCAUCUCUAUCAUUUCACUGUUGAUGUCAUCACAUAUAUAAGCUACGUAGUGUUCCUUCAUUAUUUUCUAGCAUAUUUGACUAAUAAUAACUUUUGUUGUA
rnacentral:misc_RNA from 1 species